rnacentral:rRNA from 1 species
GAUGAACGCUGGCGGCGUGCCUAAUACAUGCAAGUCGAGCGAACAGACGAGGAGCUUGCUCCUCUGACGUUAGCGGCGGACGGGUGAGUAACACGUGGAUAACCUACCUAUAAGACUGGGAUAACUUCGGGAAACCGGAGCUAAUACCGGAUAAUAUAUUGAACCGCAUGGUUCAAUAGUGAAAGACGGUUUUGCUGUCACUUAUAGAUGGAUCCGCGCCGCAUUAGCUAGUUGGUAAGGUAACGGCUUACCAAGGCAACGAUGCGUAGCCGACCUGAGAGGGUGAGCGGCCACACUGGAACGGAGACACGGUCCAGAGUCCUACGGGAGGCAGCAGUAGGGAAUGUUCCGCAAUGGGCGAAAGCCUGACGGAGCAACGCCGCGUGAGUGAUGAAGGUCUUCGGAUCGUAAAACUCUGUUAUUAGGGAAGAACAAAUGUGUAAGUAACUAUGCACGUCUUGACGGUACCUAAUCAGAAAGCCACGGCUAACUACGUG